rnacentral:rRNA from 1 species
AUUUAAGCGAUGAAUGCCUCGNNUCGGGCUACGAUGAACAACGCG